rnacentral:rRNA from 1 species
CAGUCGCCGCGGGAAUACGGAGGGUGCAAGCGUUAAUCGGAAUUACUGGGCGUAAAGCGCACGCAGGCGGUCUGUCAAGUCGGAUGUGAAAUCCCCGGGCUCAACCUGGGAACUGCAUUCGAAACUGGCAGGCUAGAGUCUUGUAGAGGGGGGUAGAAUUCCAGGUGUAGCGGUGAAAUGCGUAGAGAUCUGGAGGAAUACCGGUGGCGAAGGCGGCCCCCUGGACAAAGACUGACGCUCAGGUGCGAAAGCGUGGGGAGCAAACAGGAUUAGAUACCCGAGUAGUCCCUGUCUCUAUACC